AUGGGGAUGCAGCAAUCCAAGGAGGAGCUGCUGUACCAGCAGGUGAACUACGGCAACAUCGAGGGGAUUCGGAACCUCCGGGCGCAGGGCGCAGGCGUUGAGUGGAUUGACAAGGAAGGGAAGACGCCCCUGAUGGUCGCCAGCAUGCGCCCUGAUCUGCUGAAUGUGGCUAAAGCUUUGAUCGAACUGGGUGCAAAUGUGAAUGCAUAUCGGCCUGGAUCACACGCUGGGACUGCAUUGCACCAUGCUGCCAAAAAAGGACUUGAUCCGACUGUCCAUUUACUUCUCUCACAUGGAGCUAACCCAUUCAUAACAAAUGAUGACUGCAAUACCGCACUUGACCUGGCUAGAGAAAAGGGUCAUGUGAACGUUGUAAGGGCCAUAGAGGGACGGAUUUCUCUUUUUUCUGGAUGGAUGAGGGAGAAUUAUGGUCCUGGUUUCUUGGAAGCGUUUGCUCCUCAAUUCAUGACUAGGAAGAUUUGGGCAGUGAUUUUACCACGUGAAGCACGGAGCCCGACAAGACCUGUGAAGCUUGAGUUAGCUAUAUAUCCUGAAUUGCAGGCUGCGAAACCUCGUGUUGUUGUCAAACUUUGGAAAUCUCAACUUGAGGAACCAAAGUAUAAUCUGGCUGAUCCUUCCAUGACAAUUUUUGACAAAGUUACAAUGAUUCCUCCUGCUCUCUACAGAGCUCGUGCACACAUGUAUGUAGUGAUUCAUUUUGCUCUUUAUACAAAGUGCAUAUCUCUGUGCAAAUGUUCUGUUGGAAAAUGGACUAUAGAAUCUCGAUACAAGCUUUUACCGGCUUAUGAAGGUGACAAGCAGCAGCUUCGAUCAUUUUAUAGUGCAUGUUGUGGCAUGGCACAGGUUGCCAGCAUGGUUCCUGCACGACCAGUGAAUGCCCCCAGUCCAAAUCCAACUCCAAAUCCGUCUUCGGCACCUUCAGCGGAAUCGACUCCCAGUAAGGAGGAUGUUGAGUUAGCGAUGGCUAUCAAUGCCUCCAUCCAAUCAGCUAUAGCAGAGGGAGUGCCCAAUGUGCAGCCAAUGGCAUCAACGAACAGCUCUCUCAACGGAUGGGGCUCACCAAAUUCUCCAGCGCCUUCAAAAACGAGUGGCCAAGCACAGGUUGAUGCUCCAAGCAGCAGCAAAUACAAUGGAUGGGAUGUACCUGGAACAAGCUCUAACCAAAGUUCAUCGAAACCUAACAAAAGUCAAAACAACAACCCUUCGAUUGUGAUUCCACCUGAGGCACUUCCAGUUCCAACACCAACUGCACUUCCGGUUCCAACACCAACUGCACUUCCAACUCUUCCAACACCAACUGCGCCACCACUUGCUGAAGGAACCUUCUACGAUGGCCCUAUUGAGUAUCCGUCCAUAGAUUUCACACCAGUUGAUGUAACCAUGCCACCCACGGAAGGUGGUGGUACGGCGCUAAACUCUGCAAAACCUGUAGAAAAUGAAGCCGUUGCAAGCAGCAGUGGUAACACCCCCUCUGGUACUUGUGUGAUUUGCUUGGAUGCUCCUGUGGAAGGAGCCUGCAUUCCAUGUGGUCACAUGGCUGGUUGCAUGUCCUGCUUGAAGGAUAUCGAGUCGAAGAAAUGGGGGUGCCCCAUUUGUCGUGCCAAGAUCAACCAGAUUAUCCGCCUGUAUGCAGUUUGA
rnacentral:rRNA from 1 species